GACUGCAUGAAGCUGGAAUCGCUAGUAAUCGCGAAUCAGAAUGUCGCGGUGAAUACGUUCCCGGGUCUUGUACACACCGCCCGUCACACCAUGGGAGUUGGUAACGCCCGAAGUCAGUGACCCAACCGCAAGGAGGGAGCUGCCGAAGGCGGGAUCGGUAACUGGGGUGAAGUCGUAACAAGGUACC
rnacentral:rRNA from 1 species